rnacentral:rRNA from 1 species
UACGUAGGGUGCGAGCGUUAAUCGGAAUUACUGGGCGUAAAGUGUGCGCAGGCGGCGCCGCAAGUCGAGUGUGAAAUCCCCGGGCUUAACCUGGGAAUUGCGCUUGAAACUAGCGGGCUUGAGUGUGGCAGAGGGGGGUGGAAUUCCACGUGUAGCAGUGAAAUGCGUAGAUAUGUGGAGGAAUACCGAUGGCGAAGGCAGCCCCCUGGGUCAAGACGUGACGCUCAUGCACGAAAGCGUGGGGAGCAAACAGG